GUAAAUAUAGUUUAAAAAAACCAUUAGAUUGUGAUUCUAAAAUUAAAGAACAAACCCUUUUAUUUACC
rnacentral:tRNA from 1 species